GAUGAACGCUAGCGGCAGGCUUAAUACAUGCAAGUCGAGGGACAGCACAGGUAGCAAUACUGGGUGGUAACCGGCAAACGGGUGCGGAACACGUACACAACCUUCCUUUAAGUGGGGGAUAGCCCAGAGAAAUUUGGAUUAAUACCCCGUAAUAUAGUUGAAUGGCAUCAUUUGAUUAUUAUAGCUACGGCGCUUAAUGAUGGGUGUGCGGCUGAUUAGAUAGUUGGCGGGGUAACGGCCCACCAAGUCUACGAUCAGUAGCUGAUGUGAGGGCAUGAUCAGCCACACGGGCACUGAGACACGGGCCCGACUCCUACGGGAGGCAGCAGUAAGUAAUAUUGGUCAAUGGCCGCAAGUCUGAACCAGCCAUGCCGCGUGAAGGAUUAAGGUCCUCUGGAUUGUAAACUUCUUUUAUUUGGGACGAAAAAGGGCCUUUCUAGGUCAACUGACGGUACCAGAUGAAUAAGCACCGGCUAACUCCGUGCCAGCCGCCGCAGUAAAAC
rnacentral:rRNA from 1 species